rnacentral:rRNA from 1 species
GACGGAGGGUGCUAGCGUUGUUCGGAAUCACUGGGCGUAAAGGGUGCGCAGGUGGCCGUGUGUGUGAGGCGUGAAAGCCCGGGGCUUAACCCCGGAAUUGCACCUCAAACUACAUGGCUAGAGCAUUGGAGAGGGUAGCGGAAUUCACGGUGUAGCAGUGAAAUGCGUAGAUAUCGUGAGGAACACCAGAGGCGAAGGCGGCUACCUGGACAAUUGCUGACACUCAGGCACGAAAGCGUGGGGAGCAAAAGGG